GGCGGCGUAGCCAAGUGGUAAGGCAAAGCUCUGCAAAAGCUUUAUUCGUCGGUUCGAUUCCGACCGCCGCCUCCA
rnacentral:tRNA from 1 species